UUAAUGUGUAAACGAAGAGGCUAGCUCUUCUGUAUCAAAAAUAAAACACAUAAAUUGGUUGCUGCAACGUUUUGUUCGAUGGCAACAGCGGAACCCAAGCUCAUCAUUUUAUUUAGUGGGAAACGCAAAUCUGGAAAAUAUUACGUGACGGAUUUGAUUCACAGAAGACUAGGUCCAGAUGUAUGCUGUAUCUUGCGUAUCUCGGGUAUUCUCAAACAGCAAUACGCACAGGACCAUGGAUUGGACUUUGAGGAGCUGUUGGGAGCAGGUGAGUACAAGGAGAAGUACCGUGCUGACAUGAUCCAGUGGGGUGAGAAGCAGAGGGAGAAGGACCCAGGGUUCUUCUGUCAUGUGGCCAUCAAGGCAGCCCACCAGCCUAUCUGGGUAAGAUAACAUUCUCAAUUGACCCACUGUAAUGGAGAAAUAUACAAGCCAAGUCCCACCAUAUAUGAUUUAUGUCAAGCGCAAGUAUUUGAGUCAGGUCUUAAUUGCUAUUAGAAACUGACCAUCUCCAUAUUCAGAGUUGGUGAACAUGACUAAAAAAAGGCCCUACCUGAUGAGCAGUUGAAGCAUCAUGUAUUGUCCUCUACCAUUAUACCUUCUCUAAUCUCUAUUGUGCCCCAGAUUGUGAGUGACACAUGAAAUCUGUCAGAUCUGCAGUGGUUCUGGAGGGAGUAUCCUAGUCAGUCUCGCUGUGUUCAGGUGGAGGACUCAGAAGAGACACGGAGGGAGAGGGGCUGGGAGUUCACAACAGCUGCAAUACCUACACUGAUAGUAUUAGUGAUAUGUUCUUCACUUUUGGAGAAAUACAAUACCUCUUCAACACCACACCCUCUCUCUUUGCAGGAAUAGAUGAUGCAGUCUGAAUGUGGGCUCGACCAAGGAGUAGAUUUUGAUUGGAUAAUCAAAAAUAAGGGCAAUGGAUCACAACUGGAAGAGCAGCUUGCUACUUGGCUGCUCUCAAUAGCCAAAGAAAAGGUGAAAGAGGACUGAUGUGGAGGGGACAUUACACAGCUGUAGUAACUGUAGUUGGGUAUACAUUACACUAUUUUCUGUGAAAAUCCUAGAACACCUUUCAUACACAGAGGAGCAGCAGAAAGUGAGAAUGUAGUAUUUAUUUCUCUACAGUGUUCUGUACUAUCAACUACAUAGCAUGGCAAGAAUACAAAAAUCUGAUCAAACACCCAAACAUGUACGGUGUGCAUAUUGGCACUGACCAAUAUGUUAAUUUACAUGGAUCACACAACUGCCAAAAUAAAAAACACUUGAGAAAAAUUAAGGAUACAAAGUAUAUUAAAAGCUGGUGCUUCCACACAGGUGUGGGUCGUGAGUUAAUUAAGCAAUUAACAUCAUCAUGAUUAGGGUGAUAUAUAGAAAUUAUUUUGGCUAACAUAGCUAGAAGAGAUGUGACUGUCACAUUAAUCCAAUAAAGUUUGACACUUGAAUAGAUGCCAAGGUGCAUGGAAGCUUUUCUGGUGGCACAAUGCCCUAUUAAGACACUUUGGGGUUUCCUUUUUGGCAUUUUCCUGUACUUGGUGACAUUUACCUCCUGUGUUGACAUCACUAAGACCCAAUAUACAGAUUAAUUCUGCACUUGUAUAAAAGUGUCUUAGAUUGUAAAAUAGUUAACUAGGCUACUCAAAAGUAUAGUUUUAGUUGUAAAUAGCUAGACGAUUAACUGGGAACCUGGAACAUGCACAUAUGCUGACCCAUGGUAAAAUUAGUGCAAUACUACAUUGCACACCUAUUCAACAUAAUUAAAAUGUACUAGACACAGACAUGAUCAAUGUUCUAAUAGCAGGGUAAGUGUUAGUUCAUAAAACAUUUUAAAGUAGACAUGGAGGUAGUAGCAGCACCUAAAUUGAGUGGUAUCAAACUGAAGAAAAAAAACAAUACAAAAAUUGGAAUGUCAAUACAAAUCAUGGUUCUUUAUUUUUAAAAAGUGUCCAUUUGUGUCAUGAUUACAAUCAAAACAUUACUGGUAACAAAUGUUUACACCCAUAGUGUCGAGUGAAAAGUUCCAGUUAAACUUGAUGCAAUACUUUACUUUUUAUUUCCUUAUUAAUUAUAAGGUUUGCAGAGUUCACUUAAUUUUCAGAAAAAAAAUAGUUUAAUAGUCUAUACUGAUAAGAAGUCUAGAUAAUACCCUUGUGUCCCUUCUCCCUAUUCAUUGGCCCCUAUGCUUCCAUUUUGGCAGUGGAAUGCGUAGUGAUUGGCUGAUCACACCCCUCCCCUACAU